rnacentral:rRNA from 1 species
AACGAACGCUGGCGGCAUGCCUAACACAUGCAAGUCGAACGGGAUCAUAGCUUGCUAGGUGAGAGUGGCGGACGGGUGAGUAACACGUGGGAAUCUGCCUUUUGGUUCGGGAUAACCGCGGGAAACUGCGGCUAAUACCGAAUGCCCUCGAGAGAGGAAAGAUUUAUCGCCAGAAGAGGAGCCCGCGUCCGAUUAGGUAGUUGGUGGGGUAAAGGCCUACCAAGCCGACGAUCGGUAGCUGGUCUGAGAGGAUGAUCAGCCACACUGGGACUGAGAUACGGCCCAGACUCCUACGGGAGGCAGCAGUGGGGAAUAUUGGACAAUGGGGGCAACCCUGAUCCAGCAAUGCCGCGUGAGUGAUGAAGGCCUUAGGGUUGUAAAGCUCUUUUGCCAGGGAAGAUGAUGACUGUACCUGGAGAAUAAGCCCCGGCUAACUUCGUGCCAGCAGCC